UACCAGCACCCCGAGUGGUCGGGACGUUAUUGGGCCUAAAGCAUCCGUAGCCGGUUCUACAAGUCUUCCGUUAAAUCCACCUGCUUAACAGAUGGGCUGCGGAGGAUACUAUAGAGCUAGGAGGCGGGAGAGGCAAGCGGUACUUAGUGGGUAGGGGUAAAAUCCGUUGAUCCAUUGAAGACCACCAGUGGCGAAGGCGGCUUGCCAGAACGCACUCGACGGUGAGGGAUGAAAGC
rnacentral:rRNA from 1 species